rnacentral:rRNA from 1 species
UGAGGAAUAUUGGUCAAUGGACGCAAGUCUGAACCAGCCAUGCCGCGUGCAGGAUGACGGCCCUAUGGGUUGUAAACUGCUUUUAUUAAGGAAUAAACCCUCCUACGUG